AUUGAACGCUGGCGGCAGGCUUAACACAUGCAAGUCGAGCGGGCGAGGUUGCUUCGGUAACUGAGCUAGCGGCGGACGGGUGAGUAAUGCUUAGGAAUCUGCCUAUUAGUGGGGGACAACAUUCCGAAAGGGAUGCUAAUACCGCAUACGCCCUACGGGGGAAAGCAGGGGAUCUUCGGACCUUGCGCUAAUAGAUGAGCCUAAGUCAGAUUAGCUAGUUGGUGGGGUAAAGGCCUACCAAGGCGACGAUCUGUAGCGGGUCUGAGAGGAUGAUCCGCCACACUGGGACUGAGACACGGCCCAGACUCCUACGGGAGGCAGCAGUGGGGAAUAUUGGACAAUGGGCGAAAGCCUGAUCCAGCCAUGCCGCGUGUGUGAAGAAGGCCUUUUGGUUGUAAAGCACUUUAAGCGAGGAGGAGGCUACCGAGAUUAAUACUCUUGGAUAGUGGACGUUACUCGCAGAAUAAGCACCGGCUAACUCUGUGCCAGCAGCCGCGGUAAUACAGAGGGUGCGAGCGUUAAUCGGAUUUACUGGGCGUAAAGCGUGCGUAGGCGGCUUCUUAAGUCGGAUGUGAAAUCCCUGAGCUUAACUUAGGAAUUGCAUUCGAUACUGGGAAGCUAGAGUAUGGGAGAGGAUGGUAGAAUUCCAGGUGUAGCGGUGAAAUGCGUAGAGAUCUGGAGGAAUACCGAUGGCGAAGGCAGCCAUCUG
rnacentral:rRNA from 1 species